GUCAGCUAAUCCUCCUGUCACCCUAAGACUGCUCUAAUGUGCUGUAAUACAAUUAGAGCAUCACCAAGGGGCAAGGGGCAUUCUGGCUGCAC
ensembl:miRNA gga-mir-1722 gga-mir-1722